rnacentral:rRNA from 1 species
GACGAACGCUGGCGGCGUGCUUAACACAUGCAAGUCGAACGGAAAGGCCCUGCUUUUGUGGGGUGCUCGAGUGGCGAACGGGUGAGUAACACGUGAGUAACCUGCCCUUGACUUUGGGAUAACUUCAGGAAACUGGUGCUAAUACCGGAUAGGAGCUCCUGCUGCAUGGUGGGGGUUGGAAAGUUUCGGCGGUUGGGGAUGGACUCGCGGCUUAUCAGCUUGUUGGUGGGGUAGUGGCUUACCAAGGCUUUGACGGGUAGCCGGCCUGAGAGGGUGACCGGCCACAUUGGGACGGAGAUACGGCACAGACUCCUACGGGAGGCAGCAGUGGGGAAUAUUGCACAAUGGGCGGAAGCCUGAUGCAGCAACGCCGCGUGCGGGAUGACGGCCUUCGGGUUGUAAACCGCUUUCGCAUGUGACGAAGCGUGAGUGACGGUAAUGGGUAAAGAAGCACCGGCUAACUACGUG